rnacentral:rRNA from 1 species
UUGGUGGGGUAGUGGCCUACCAAGACGACGACGGGUAGCCGGCCUGAGAGGGUGACCGGCCACACUGGGACUGAGACACGGCCCAGACUCCUACGGGAGGCAGCAGUGGGGAAUAUUGCACAAUGGGCGAAAGCCUGAUGCAGCGACGCCGCGUGAGGGAUGACGGCCUUCGGGUUGUAAACCUCUUUCAGCAGGGAAGAAGCGAAAGUGACGGUACCUGCAGAAGAAGCACCGGCUAACUACGUGCCAGCAGCCGCGGUAAUACGUAGGGUGCAAGCGUUGUCCGGAAUUAUUGGGCGUAAAGAGCUCGUAGGCGGCCUGUCGCGUCGAUUGUGAAAGCCCAGGGCUUAACCCUGGGUCUGCAGUCGAUACGGGCAGGCUAGAGUUCGGUAGGGGAGAUCGGAAUUCCUGGUGUAGCGGUGAAAUGCGCAGAUAUCAGGAGGAACACCGGUGGCGAAGGCGGAUCUCUGGGCCGAUACUGACGCUGAGGAGCGAAAGCGUGGGGAGCGAACAGGAUUAGAUACCCUGGUAGUCCACGCCGUAAACGGUGGGCACUAGGUGUGGGCAACAUUCCACGUUGUCCGUGCCGCAGCUAACGCAUUAAGUGCCCCGCCUGGGGAGUACGGCCGCAAGGCUAAAAC